AUCCCUGUAACGCAAUGGAUAGCGCGUUGGACCUCUAAUCCAAAGGUUGUGGGUUUGAAUCCCACUUAGGAUG
rnacentral:tRNA from 1 species